rnacentral:rRNA from 1 species
UGGGGGGCAACUCCCAUUCAGUGGCGAACGGGUGAGUAAUGCAUCGGAACGUAUCCCGUAGUGGGGGACAACGCCGCGAAAGCGGCGCUAAUACCGCAUAUGCUCUACGGAGGAAAGUGGGGGACCGCAAGGCCUCACGCUAUGGGAGCGGCCGAUGUCCGAUUAGCUAGUUGGUGGGGUAAUGGCCCACCAAGGCGACGAUCGGUAGCUGGUCUGAGAGGAUGAUCAGCCACACUGGGACUGAGACACGGCCCAGACUCCUACGGGAGGCAGCAGUGGGGAAUUUUGGACAAUGGGGGCAACCCUGAUCCAGCCAUGCCGCGUGCGGGAAGAAGGCCUUCGGGUUGUAAACCGCUUUUAGUCGGGAAGAAAAGGCAUCUCCUAAUACGGGGUGUUCUUGACGGUACCGGCGGAAUAAGCACCGGCUAACUACGUGCCAGCAGCCGCGGUAAUACGUAGGGUGCGAGCGUUAAUCGGAAUUACUGGGCGUAAAGCGUGCGCAGGCGGUUCGUUGUGUCUGAUGUGAAAGCCCCGGGCUCAACCUGGGAAUGGCAUUGGAAACUGGCGAGCUGGAGUGCGGCAG